rnacentral:rRNA from 1 species
GACAGCAGCCGCCGCGGUAAUACAGAGGGUGCGAGCGUUAAUCGGAUUUACUGGGCGUAAAGCGUGCGUAGGCGGCUUCUUAAGUCGGAUGUGAAAUCCCUGAGCUUAACUUAGGAAUUGCAUUCGAUACUGGGAAGCUAGAGUAUGGGAGAGGAUGGUAGAAUUCCAGGUGUAGCGGUGAAAUGCGUAGAGAUCUGGAGGAAUACCGAUGGCGAAGGCAGCCAUCUGGCCUAAUACUGACGCUGAGGUACGAAAGCAUGGGGAGCAAACAGGAUUAGAUACCCGGGUAGUCCCUGUCUCUUAUAC